UUGGCGACAUCGACCUGCGCGUUCUGGCUGGCUAGCUUACCGAUGGCUUCGCUGAUGGAAGGGUGCCAGCUGACGGCUCGGCUUACCGCGUCGUUCAGCGUGAGGACGCCGGGAAUGGCAUCGUUUAGCGGCAGCGCGCGUGCGCCGUCGAGCGCGGGGAGUUCCUGCUGGUCUUGCAGUCCUUGCGGGGAAAUCGGCAAUGCGGCGUUUUGCGCCAGAAGCGGAGCGGAAUAUAAGGCACAGAGUAGACCCCAACUGACGGGUAUUUUAAUGCUCAUUAUGGAUCCUUAUAAAAACGGCACAGUUCCCUAUUGUUUAACGCCGGGCGUGGCCGCGCCCGGCGUU
rnacentral:sRNA from 1 species